GGGAUGAUGGCAGUAUCAUAGCUGUCCUUGGAUUGAAACAAGAAAUUAUUCAAAGUUACAUGUUUAAAUGUGUGCACAAUACAGAAGUUGGACCUACACUCAUUCUCCGUACUGGAAGCUCUUCUUGAGUAGCCGUCUGUGACAGUUUUGGUUGGUGUCUCACAGGCUCCAGGAGGAAUAAUCAAUCCUCUUCUAAUCAUCUCAAAUUUUGUUCUAUGGGACAGAAACUUAAAUAACCUAGAAAAAAUGAAAAAAUGUUAACUAAAUCACCUUAAAGGCAGGACAAACGUUUAUUAAAUGUUAAAGCAUUCUGAUUUUUAAAUUUCUGAAAUGCAUACACUUUUGGUAUUAAAGGUAUCGCAAAAGCCACAAGGUUACGAUUUCAUAAUAAAUGGAGGAAAAGAACAUUUACUUGGUCAUCAUUUUGAAGGAACUUGAUGAAGUAACAAGAUAAGAACAGGAAAAUCCAGAAUCAA